CGAUGACGCUGUGGGAAGUUUGUGUAACCCACGGCAUCGAUCUGGAAGCCUCUUUUCUUCCAGGAGUCCAGAACGUGUUGGCAGACCGGCUCAGCAGGUCCUUUCUAGCCCACGAGUGGUCUCUUCGUCCGGACAUAGUCCAUUCUCUUUUCCAGCGGUGGGGAUUUCCCCGAAUCGACCUCUUCGCGUCCCGCACCAACCGGAAGUGCACCCUGUUCUGCUCCUUCCGCGGUCUCGACCGCGGCUCUCUGUCGGACGCGUUCCUCCUACCUUGGUCGACCCACCUCCUCUAUGCCUUCCCGCCGUUCCCCUUGGUGCACAAAGUCCUCGUAAAGCUACGCAGGGACAAGGCCCGACUAAUUCUCAUCGCCCCAGCGUGGCCUCGCCAACACUGGUACCCCACGCUGUUGGACCUGUCCAUAGCCAGUCCGGUUCCCCUGCCGGUCCAUCCGGACUUGAUAUCACAAGACCACGGCAGGCUUCUCCACCCCGACCUCCGGUCCCUCCACCUGACUGCGUGGCUCCUGGCUGGCUGAGCUCUGCAGAGCUGCGCUGUUCCACCCCAGUGCAGCAAGUGCUCUUGGGAAGUAGGAAACCUGCAACCAGGGCUACCUACCUGGCAAAAUGGAAGAGGUUUUCCUGCUGGUGUCAAUCACGAGGACUGUCACCAGCUCAGGUUCCCAUCCAAGUGCUACUGGAAUAUCUAUGGCACCUUAAACAACAAGGCCUCGCGCUCUCAUCCCUCCGCGUCCACCUAGCGGCCAUUUCCUCCUUCCAUCCAGGAGAAGGCUCUUCCUCCGCCUUCUCUCACCCUAUGGUCUCGAGGUUCCUCAAGGGCCUGGAGCGCCUGUAUCCCCAGGUCCGCUAUCCCGCCCCCUCCUGGGACCUCAAUCUGGUUCUCUCGAAACUAAUGGCCCCUCCUUUCGAACCCUUGGCAACCUGCUCUCUCCUGUACCUAUCGUGGAAGGUGGCGUUCCUUGUGGCCAUUACAUCGGCCAGGAGAGUCUCAGAGCUUCGCGCUCUGGUGGCGGACGCACCAUACACGAUAUUCCAUAAAGACAAGGUGCAACUCCGUCCGCAUCCGGCCUUUCUGCCCAAGGUGGUCUCCCCAUUCCACCUAAACCAGGAC
rnacentral:lncRNA from 1 species